rnacentral:rRNA from 1 species
AGCAGCCGCGGUAAUUCCAGCUCCAAUAGCGUAUAUUAAAGUUGUUGCAGUUAAAAAGCUCGUAGUUGAAUUUCGGAAUUCAUCCGUCGGUCGGGCUUAACUGUCCGUACUGGUGUGAUGGGUUCCUACCUUCUGAAUAACCGGCAUGCCAUUAAUUUGGUGCGCCGGGGAAGCAGGACUGUUACCUUGAAAAAAUUAGAGUGCUUAAAGCAGGCUAUCGCCUGAAUACAUUAGCAUGGAAUAAUGAAAUAGGACGGCAUGGUUCUAUUUUGUUGGUUUCUAGGAUCACCGUAAUGAUUAAUAGGGAUAGUUGGGGGCAUUAGUAUUCAAUUGUCAGAGGUGAAAUUCUUGGAUUUAUUGAAGACUAACUUCUGCGAAAGCAUUUGCCAAGGAUGUUUUCAUUAAUCAAGAACGAAAGUUAGGGGAUCGAAGACGAUCAGAUACCGUCGUAGUCUUAACCAUAAACUA